AUAAAGCAUAUGCAUGGGUUAGUGAUGCAACUUUUUGAAUACAAGACUAUACAACUUUCCUUCAUGAUAAAGUUGCAAGCCAACAAGUGACUACACAAUUUAUCAUGAUAAAGUUGCAAGCCAACACACAAAAACCCGAAAAGAUUAACCCACCAUUUUUAUUUCUUUUACUAACCUUACCCUAGGCUUUUUCUUUUGUUUUUAGAAAAUAUUAUAAUUAUUUUCUAGCCUCAAAAUCUAGUUUCCUAUGGGUUAAUAAUGAUUUAUGAUUAUGAAAACAUUAUUCCAUAUUUUAUGCAUUUAAUAAAGUUUAAGUAUUUAUUUAAAUACCUUAAUGAAAAGGUAUUAAACAAAUACCUAAAUUUUAUUAUUUUUCCUAGGGUAUAAAAAUUUUAAUGCAUAAAGGAAAAUAAAACAAUCCUAACAAAAUUGGUUUCACUAAUUUUGGACACCCCUAGAAAUUUCUGUGAUUUAAAUGGUGAUAUACGGAUUUAAUCUAUUAUUCUAAUAAAGGAAAUCUAUAUAUUUCCCAAAAACCCCCGGCUUAACUUUUCUUACUCACCCCCUUCCUACCCCCUCUCUCUUACGCUGGGCCCACAGCUCGGACCCACCUCUUUCUCCUAUUUCUUCUACCCGCCGGCCCUUUCCUCCUUUGUUGGGCUCACUGGGUCGAUUUUUUCUCCCAUCCUUCUUUCUUAAACCGACGCCGGCCCAACGGCACAACUCUUUUUUUCUUUUUCUUUCCGCGGCACCAGCCUUCCAAGACGGCCCAAUGGCCUCGCACUGGCGCCUGGGCCUACUGGACCCCGACCUUCUUCUU
rnacentral:lncRNA from 1 species